UACGUAGGGUGCGAGCGUUGUCCGGAAUUAUUGGGCGUAAAGGGCUCGUAGGCGGUUUGUCGCGUCGGGAGUGAAAACACACAGCUUAACUGUGUGCUUGCUUUCGAUACGGGCAGACUAGAGGUAUGCAGGGGAGAACGGAAUUCCUGGUGUAGCGGUGAAAUGCGCAGAUAUCAGGAGGAACACCGGUGGCGAAGGCGGUUCUCUGGGCAUUACCUGUCGCUGAGGAGUGAAAGUGUGGGGAGCGAACAGG
rnacentral:rRNA from 1 species